rnacentral:rRNA from 1 species
GAUGAACGCUGGCGGCGUGCCUAAUACAUGCAAGUCGAGCGAACAGACGAGGAGCUUGCUCCUCUGACGUUAGCGGCGGACGGGUGAGUAACACGUGGAUAACCUACCUAUAAGACUGGGAUAACUUCGGGAAACCGGAGCUAAUACCGGAUAAUAUAUUGAACCGCAUGGUUCAAUAGUGAAAGACGGUUUUGCUGUCACUUAUAGAUGGAUCCGCGCCGCAUUAGCUAGUUGGUAAGGUAACGGCUUACCAAGGCAACGAUGCGUAGCCGACCUGAGAGGGUGAUCGGCCACACUGGAACUGAGACACGGUCCAGACUCCGACGGGAGGCAGCAGUAGGGAAUCUUCCGCAAGGGGCGAAAGCGUGACGGAGCAACGCCGCGUGAGGGAUGAUGGUCUUAGGAUCGUAAAACUCUGUUAUUAGGGAAGAACAAAUGUGUAAGUAACUAUGCACGUCUUGACGGUACCGAAUCAGAAAGCCACGGCUAACUACGUG